rnacentral:rRNA from 1 species
CCUACGGGGGGCAGCAGUGAGGAAUAUUGGUCAAUGGCCGCAAGCCUGAACCAGCCAAGUCGCGUGAAGGAUGACGGCUCUACGGGUUGUAAACUUCUUUUAUAAGGGAAUAAAGUGAGGCACGUGUGCCUUUUUGUAUGUACUUUAUGAAUAAGCAUCGGCUAACUCCGUGCCAGCAGCCGCGGUAAUACGGAGGAUGCGAGCGUUAUCCGGAUUUAUUGGGUUUAAAGGGUGCGUAGAUGGGUUGUUAAGUCAGUGGUGAAAGUUUGUGGCUCAACCGUAAAAUUGCAAUUGAUACUGGCAGCCUUGAGUACGGUUGAGGUAGGCGGAAUGCGUGGUGUAGCGGUGAAAUGCUUAGAUAUCACGAAGAACUCCGAUUGCGAAGGCAGCUUACUAAACCGUCACUGACACUGAUGCUCGAAAGCGUGGGGAUCAAACAGGAUUAGAUACCCGAGUAGUC